CACAGUGCAAUGAAGUAAAUAAAUGCUUUCUGUCCGAGCAUCUUUCCUAUGCAGAUGGCAUAGUUUCACAAGAGUGACCAAAGAGUAACCUUUAAGAGAAACUGAAUGGUUGGCCAAUUAUUUUAGGUCAGCCCAACAUCAGUUGUAUUAAGACUUAUGUGGUUUUACUACUGUGUUUGCUAUGUGCCAAGUACAAUCCUAAACAGUUUACAUUUCUUUUCUCAGUUAAUUUUCAUAGCAGCCAUAUUAGUUCCAUUUCACAAUGAGAAACUGAGGGCCCCAAAGGCCAGGUAACUGUCAAUGUUUACUCAGCUAGGACAUUGACACAGCUACGCACAGAUUUUUUUGUUUUGUUUUGUCUUUUUAUGGUUGCUACUGUGGCAUAUGGAAGUUCCAUCAGGCUAGGGGUCAAAUCUGAGCUGCAGCUGCCAGCCUACUCCACAGCCACAGCAACUCGGGAUUUGAUAUGUAUCUAUGAACUACACCACAGCUCAUAGUAGUGCUGGGUCCUUAACCCACUGAGUGAGGCCAGGGAUAACCCCAUGGAUACUAGUCGGGUUCAUUACCAUUGAGCCACAUGGGAACUCCGAUACAGAGAUUUUUAAUUCGAGUGCCUCAUGUAACAAAACAUUCCUGGAGUGUCACUUUCCAGCAUUCCAGUGUUCCAGUUCAAAUAAUCCCAGUCCAUGGGCAAAUGAGUUCAGCUUCUUGGGAUGCAUCUUGCAAGGCACUUCUCCUGGUGAACUGUUGUAGGAUCAGUAACCAAAGCAAUUUCAAGAACAUAAAGUAACAAUAAUCAGAUAAAGAUGGGCCUGGCUUCAUGAAACUUUGAGAGUGAGCAUAAAGAUAGCUCCCAAAAGAAUAACAUAAAAAUAAACCCAAUAAAAGCCAAAAAUAGCUCAUUUUUCUCAUCUAAAUACAAAUUUGUAUUUUUUAUUAAUUGCUAGCUGACAUUUUUUUCAAUAAAACAAUCUUACAAUAUAAAUAAAUUUUACUAUUUAAGCAAAAUAUGAUAAUGUACUGUUCAAGCAAGUAAAUUUAAAGGUUAAGCUCUACAGUGUGAAGAGAAGUGUGAGUGGGCCUUGGAGAAGGAUGACUGGACCCCUGGGCCACCACUGUCUUUGGUAAAGCCUUAAUGCACUUUUGAGACAGCCUUCUCCCCUGGACGGACCAGCUGGAAAAGCCACCUUCCCUGAAUGGAUGGAGUGUCAGGCAGAGCAUAGGGCUUGGCAAGGCAGAAGUAGAGCCCAUCAUCUGAGCAUUUUUAUGUUCUGUACAAUAUGCACAGCUGUAAACAAUGGUCCUAUGGGGUCCUACGCCUCAGUUGCUUCUCUUCCUUUGGAAAAAAGAAAAAAGGCUUUUCAUCCUUCAGAGGAUCCCCAAGACCUCCUCCGAAACCUUGGGUAUUUUGUGCUGUGCCAGAGAAACAGAUGGGAUGACAUAAGGCAGCUCGAGUUUCCUCUUCUCUUUAUCUUUUCUUUUUUGUCUUUUAGGGCCACAGCCAUGGCAUAUGGAGUUUCCCAGGCUAGGAGUCGAAUCAGAGCUGUAGCGCUGGCCUACACCACAGCUACAGCAAUGCCAGAUCUGAGCCAAUUUUGCAACCUACAACACAGCUCACAGCAACACCAGAUCCUUAACUCACUGAGCAAGGUCAGGGAUCAAACCUGCAUCCUCAUGGAUACUAGUCAGAUUGGUUUCUGCUGAGCCAUGACCAGAACUCAUCUCUUGAUCUUCUGAUCAAUGGGCUCACAAACUCUAUUCUGGCAGAGCCAGAAAGAACAGUAUCAGCAGCCCAACUUGUUUACCCCCACCCCUACCCCCAUGGCCAGCCUAGUCAUGGCCAUUAUCAACACCAAGGAAACUUUCACCUUCCAGGGGCCUCUUAAGCUCACAGAUCUCACUAUUUCAUAACUGCUCCAUUUAAUUCCGAGUGUUUCAUCCUGAAUGAAGCAUACAUAUGUUGCAGAGAAGCCUUUCAUUACCGAAUAUUUCCCUUCCUUUUUUCCUCUCCCUCCCUCCUCCAGCCCCCAAGGAGAUUAUCACCAAAAGGACCAGCCUGCUGCUAAGAACUUCACCCCUUCUCUAGACUGACUAGGUCUGGAAUGUGGCUCCUGUCUUCUUCUUGAGAACUUUUUCAUCUUUUGCUUUUGAUCUAUGUGUUGGCUCUCACCUUGGUCUUGUUCCAUGUCCAGCAUCAGUAACUCGUACACCAACAUUAUAUAAGUCCUAUUUUUGGUCCUAUUCAUGCAGUAUUUCUGGGAAACAGGGAAUUUAUAUAAGCUAAUGAGAUGUACAAAAGGAAGGAGAGGGAUUUCUCAGAAAGCUCAUAAAGCUUGAACUGCAGGGACCCACACUUUGUGAUAAAGGUGGUUAAGCACCACGAUCUAUGCCUAGAGUUACAGAGGCCACAGUAACCUCUUCUGGGCUCUAUGGGAUAGAAAGGUGAUGUCUCAACAAAACACUCAUACAAAACCAUGUUUGAGAAGAACGUAAGUUGGCUUUUCUUGGAAUUUCCUCUGUGGUCUGCUUCCUUGAGCUGGUGGCUUGUAUUAACCUGUGGGCAAGCAGGUACUAUCAAGAUCCAAAAUGUAUACAGAGGAAUGUUCCUCCUGCUGCCUGACAUUUGGGUAUCUGUAGCUGGAGGAUUCUUUUUGGUCAACAAAGCAGGAUAGGUGCUCUUACAGCAUUCUCUGGAGAGAUCAAUCUGAUGUAAUUGCUAUUGAGGUCUUAUUAAUAGGGAUGAGGGCAGUAUCACACCUUAAAGGGCACAAGUUCUAUUGUUAUAGGGAGUUAGACCACUAGACAAAAACGUGUUGGAAGUAUUUUAGAUCCAAUUAAAUGUACUAAAAUUCUAGUUCCUAUCAUGGCUCAGCAGAGACGAAUCUGACUAGCAUCCAUGAGGCCGCAGAUUCGAUCCCUGGACUCGCUCAGUGGGUUAAGGAUCCAGUGUUACAGCAAGUGGUGGCAUAGGUCUCAGCUGUGGCUUGGCUCCCACAUUGCUGUGGCUGUGUUGUAGGCCAGCAGCUGCA
rnacentral:lncRNA from 1 species